rnacentral:lncRNA from 1 species
AAAAGACAUGCUAUCAUCCAUAUCUAGAACUUCUAAUUACACACAUUCAGAAUCCGCUCUUUUUCUACAGGACACGAAUACAAACUCCACGACUAUUAGAAUAGAGGGCCACCUGAGAUUUGCCUAUGCUAUGACACCACGAAUUCUAGCUUGAGCCAUCCUCACGGCGAGUCUAAUUAGGAGUAUAUAAUAAAGGUAUCUUCUUUGCGGACUUACUUUCACAGUAUUUUUGAUGCAAUUGGUGUUCUAAAUUCUACACAUAUAAAAUCACUUAUUGUCAUAAAAACAGCGCAACUUUUCUUGGUCUUGCAUUGUUAUCUUUAUCAGUUGUGUAUAAUUUGGCCUUGAGCUAAAAGAACUAACUUAAAAAUGAAUGCUGAAACUAUUGGUUCUUAUUUGGGUGAAAAUAGUGAUCCGAACACUAUUCAGAUUUCUACUGGACACCGUGGUAUAUUCCAGUUGUAUUAUGUUUGCUUUAGUGACACUUUAGAAUGCUAAAGAAACCACCUCUGUAUAUUAUGUAGGUUGAUGCAUACCAACACCUUUACAUGAUGUUUCUUUAAAAAUUCAAAACAAAAACUCUAGUGAUGAAUAUGCAUACUCUGGUACCUGCAUUCUUUAAGAAAAGUGAUGAAUAUGCAUACUCUGAAGUGAUAAAUAUGCAUACCUGCGUUAUAGUCUAUAAUCGAUAGCUUUGUACAUUUGCUAUAUUUUAGGAGUAUCGCUGCAAAGGCAAGAAAAAUACUGUAAGGCCGUUCAAUAAUAUUCUGUGGUUCUAACAGUUUCAGAAUGAGAAAAGAAAAUUCUGUAAAAUAGGGGUACGCCAUCCAGGUAAGUGUCUAAUAUAAAACACUCUCAUGAUGUUAUUUAAAUGCAAGUGUGCACAAUUUGUUAACGCUUUUUGUCCUCUGUAGCUUGGUAUCAUAAUGACUCAAGUACAAGACCGAGAAAUUUGUUGAAUUCUUUCAACAAAGUUGGUGAUAACAAUGUUUCAGGAAGCCAGUUUAGACCAGGUAUGGUCAAGUACAUCAACACAUGAGAUUUCAGCUAUUUGUUAAAUCUUUAAAUUUAUAUAUUGUUUGUGAUUGUGUUUUUUCCUAAUUAUCCAUAUAAAUUAAUAUAAUUAUGUAUUGAAAUAUUGUAUCAUUUUUAAUAGAAGAUUAAUUUUUAAAAUAAUAGUUAUAUUUUUGUUAAAUAUUUAAAUUUAUUUAUUAUUUGUGUUUGUAUUUUUUCCUAAUUUUCCAUAUAAAUUAAUAUAAUUAUGUAUUGAAAUAUUGUAUCAUUUUUAAUAGAAGAUUAAUUUUUAAAAUAAUAGUUAUAUUUUUAUAGAUGGUUGUUAAGUAGACACUUUUAUGGUGUCUUAAUAUUUUUAUGUUAUUAUUUUUUUAUUUUUAUAUUACAUGUUUGAUCGUCACUUCUCAGUCGAUAAAUCUCUAAAAAUGUAACUCACUAUGAGAUAUAUGAAUAACAGAUUUUAAAUUUCCAUGCACCUCAAUGCAUAAACAAAAUGCAGCUCAUGCAGGUGAUAGUCAUAGCAGCAGCUUCGCAUCGAUGUCAGGAACUAAGGCCGGUCUGAGGAAAACCACCUUUCCAGAUGCAGGAGACAUGGGUUAGUACCUCUGUUGACAAAUAUUUUGGUCAUUACCUCUUAUGACUCUCUAAUCUCUCUAAUACCGAUGUUCCUCAUGUCCUGUUAUGAACAGACAAUGUUGCGGAUGACGAUACUAACACUGACUGAGGAAGAAGAAGGUUUGCAAGCUUUUAAUCCCCUGCAAUUCCGUGUUCCUUGCAUGUGUCUUGGAUUUUUGAAAGAAGUAUAUCACCUUCGAAAUUUCACAGAGCCCAGACGCGGACAGUACACAGCCCAUGACGAGAAUGAUACCAAAGGAGAUCUGCCUGGUUUGCAAAAAUUCAGUUAUUACAUGCUUCUGUGAUUAUUCAAAAAAAACUGGUAGAAUGCACAUACAUCUUCUGCAUACCUGCAUUAUUGUUUACAGAUUUCUGGAAAGGCUACAUGUACCUUGGUCCACCAACAAAACUUUGUUCUAAAUGUAAGGCUGUCAUGUGGAACGAGGAACGGAACAACAAAUGUGCAAAACAUAGCGAUCCGUCUUUCUCAAUCUGUUGUAGGAAUGGUCAAGUAGAGCUGGAACCCGAAAAACAACC